CGGACUUCUACACCCGCCUCCAGACAGGAGAGGGGCACGUACCGGCGCUACGGCUUCCUGCAGGCUGCCUCCGGAUAGUCCCCGAGAGCUUGUUCCGAAGCAAGCACCCUGCAGCCCUAGCGAUCCAGCCCUCCCCUGGACCCUAGGUCACGGCAAUCAACCCCCUGCUGUGGUUCCCGAACCCCAAGGCCCGAUGGGUCCCGCGGGGGUCGCGGCGAGGCCAGGGCGCUUUUUCGGCGUCUACCUGCUCUACUGCCUGAACCCCCGGUACCGGGGCCGCGUCUACGUGGGGUUCACUGUCAACACUGCUCGUCGGGUCCAGCAGCACAAUGGGGGCCGCAAAAAAGGCGGGGCCUGGCGGACCAGCGGGCGAGGGCCCUGGUGAGAGGGGGAGGCCUUCUGUGCCGGGAGGAAGGCGUCCCAGAGGAGGCGGACCCCGCGGGGCACAGGCCUGUUGAGAAGGACCGGCCAGGACUGUGACAGAGGCGGGGCGUCUGUGGUGGGGACGGGGCCUGUCGCAGGGGAGGAGCGUGACGGGGAGGCGGUGCCCGGGGCAUCUCCGCGGCGGAACUCAGGGAAGGAGCUAGCUGGGGCGGGGGUGAUGAUCCAGGCUGGGUUCCAGCAUAGGGCUCUUGGUGGGCACGCUGGGGUCGGGUGGAAUGCAGGAGAGAGAGGAGGUGGGACAGGUGGGUACCUGGGCUGGAGGCAGGGCCUGAGGUGGGCAGGUGCAGAGGGCUGCACUUCUCGGCUGAAGCCGGGAAUGAGGACCCCGCUCUCGGGUGGGAUUGGAGGGGACCCGCGGCUGAGGCGCUGGGCUGCGACAGGGACAUCACCGUUCUCCUCCUCAGGGAGAUGGUGCUCGUCGUGCACGGCUUCCCGUCCUCCGUGGCCGCCCUUCGGGUAAGGAAGGAGACCGGGCAGCGGCGGCCGGGUGAGGGCUUGGGUUCCGCCCCUCGCUCCGAGCCGCCCUGAUGCCCCUGUACGCCGCCCGCAGUUUGAGUGGGCUUGGCAGCACCCGCACGCCUCGCGCCGCCUGGCGCACGUGGGGCCUCGCCUGCGAGGAGAGACAGCCUUCGCUUUCCACCUGCGCGUGCUGGCGCACAUGCUGCGCGCACCGCCCUGGGCUCGCCUCCCGCUCACGCUGCGCUGGGUGCGCCCAGACCUCCGCCAGGACCUCUGCCUCCCGCCGCCGCCGCACGUGCCUCUGGCCUUCGGGCCUCCACCGCCCCAGGCCCCGGCCCCAAGGCGCCGCGCAGGUCCCUUUGAUGACGCGGAGCCUGAGCCAGACCAGGGGGAUCCAGGGGCCUGCUGCUCCCUGUGCGCCCAGACCAUCCAGGAUGAAGAGGGGCCCUUGUGUUGCCCCCACCCUGGCUGCCUGCUAAGGGCCCAUGUGAUCUGCCUGGCAGAGGAGUUUCUUCAGGAAGAACCAGGGCAGCUUCUGCCCCUAGAGGGCCAAUGCCCUUGCUGUGAGAAGUCACUGCUUUGGGGAGACCUGAUCUGGCUGUGCCAGAUGGACACUGAGAAAGAAGUAGAAGACUCAGAAUUAGAAGAGGAACAUGGAGCUGAUCCAGGACACCUCCCGCCCGCCACUGGAGUACGUGAAGGGGGUCCCGCUCAUCAAGUACUUUGCAGAGGCACUGGGGCCCCUGCAGAGCUUCCAAGCCCGACCUGAUGACCUGCUCAUCAACACCUACCCCAAGUCUGGCACCACCUGGGUGAGCCAGAUACUGGACAUGAUCUACCAGGGCGGCGACCUAGAGAAGUGUAACCGGGCUCCCAUCUACGUACGGGUGCCCUUCCUUGAGGUCAAUGAUCCAGGGGAACCCUCAGGGCUGGAGACUCUGAAAGACACACCGCCCCCACGGCUCAUCAAGUCACACCUGCCCCUGGCUCUGCUCCCUCAGACUCUGUUGGAUCAGAAGGUCAAGGUGGUCUAUGUUGCCCGAAACCCAAAGGACGUGGCGGUCUCCUACUACCAUUUCCACCGUAUGGAAAAGGCGCACCCUGAGCCUGGGACCUGGGACAGCUUCCUGGAAAAGUUCAUGGCUGGAGAAGUGUCCUACGGGUCCUGGUACCAGCACGUGCAGGAGUGGUGGGAGCUGAGCCGCACCCACCCUGUUCUCUACCUCUUCUAUGAAGACAUGAAGGAGAACCCCAAAAGGGAGAUUCAAAAGAUCCUGGAGUUUGUGGGGCGCUCCCUGCCAGAGGAGACCAUGGACUUCAUGGUUCAGCACACGUCGUUCAAGGAGAUGAAGAAGAACCCUAUGACCAACUACACCACCGUCCCCCAGGAGCUCAUGGACCACAGCAUCUCCCCCUUCAUGAGGAAAGGCAUGGCUGGGGACUGGAAGACCACCUUCACCGUGGCGCAGAAUGAGCGCUUCGAUGCGGACUAUGCGGAGAAGAUGGCAGGCUGCAGCCUCAGCUUCCGCUCUGAGCUGUGAGAGGGGCUCCUGGAGUCACUGCAGAGGGAGUGUGCGAAUCUACCCUGACCAAUGGGCUCAAGAAUAAAGUAUGAUUUUUGAGUCAGGCACAGUGGCUCAUGUCUGCAAUCCCAGCGAUUUGGGAGGUUGAGCUGGUAGGAUCACAAUAGGCCACGAAUUUGAGACCAGCCUGGUAAAAUAGUGAGACCUCAUCUCUACAAAGAUGUAAAAAAAUUAGCCACAUGUGCUGGCACUUACCUGUAGUCCCAGCUACUUGGGAAGCAGAGGCUGGAGGAUCAUUUCAGCCCAGGAGGUUGUGGAUACAGUGAGUUAUGACAUGCCCAUUCACUACAGCCUGGAUGACAAGCAAGACCCUCCCUCCAAAGAAAAUAAAGCUCAAUUAAAAUAAAA
ensembl:lncRNA SLX1A-SULT1A3 SLX1A-SULT1A3 readthrough (NMD candidate)